CAUUUCAAAAAACCGCCAACGCUCUCAGAAAACGCCUUUCUUCAGAAUUACUUCUCUUCUUCAGUGUUCAUCCGAUUCAGACACCAUUGAGGUGGACCUCUCCGGCGGCGAUGUCGUCGUCUUCUAUUUAGGCCGCCGACGGAGCACCGGGUUCUGAUGGUCCAGAGGCUGAUGGCGCUGCCGAGGGAUUGGAUCCAGGUCGCGGAGAAGCGGGAGAUCCCGUAGGGGCACUGCUGGGUGGAAAGGGACAAUGCCGGCAGCAACUGGGACUCGAGAUUCUAUGGCCCUGUAGGCAUCCUGGUCUAUGGUUCCCAUGAAUUUUACCCUUCUUCCAGUUCCUCUGAUCUGAUGGAGGGGAGGAUCAUACACAUUGUCUGGCUGCCCAAUUCAAUUUGUCUGAGUCAACAGAAUGGUGACAGAUGGCCGGAUUAUUCCAUGACAUUGACAUGUUUUCUGAUCCGCUUGUUUAGGCUAGAUCAUCUAGAGUUUUAUUGUCAUGGCAAUGUAGGAUGAGAUUAGGAGCAACAUAAUCCUCAAGAGGUAGUGAUACUACUUUCACAAAGGAUUUCAUCUCUAGUAGCAACAGAAUUAACUUCAGGAACAGAUUUGAUUGUAGGAACUGCACGGUGAGGAGUUAACCAGUUACAGGUAUUCAGUUUGAAAUCCUACUAUUCCUUAUUGAGAGUAUCAAGGUGUCGUAUCCAAAGUUCAAACUUAAUAUUAUGUGCUGAAGUCACCUGCUGUGAGUACUACUUGGUGCAAAUUUGCAUCAACACAUGUUAUGCUAAUUUGAAUUAAGACCUGUAAUAAAUAACUCAGAAGCCCAGAAAUGACCGUCACAAAUGUAUAGAGAUUAAAUUUGCCUUUUCCAACAUUUUCAUCGCUAUUUUGUUUUUUUCCCACAAGGUACACAGAUGACAAACUGAAGGUACAACUUUGAUGAGAGGAACCGAAAUACAACUUGAAGUUGCAACAUGGUUGCCAGGAUGUUCAUUAUGCACUGAUUGUCCAGUCCUCUGUUUUAUUUACCAGAUACCAGAUUAGUCUACUGGCACUGGUUCCAUGGCUUCAGCCUCCUUUCUCAACUCAUCAAAUAGUGCAGAUGACAAGUAUCGCUCCCCAAGGCUUGGAAGAACAGUCUGUACCAAUGUUCACUGGUCAGUAUUCUGAAAUUUCUUCAUGUUAAUAUUGUAAGGCAAUGUGAAAAAGAUUAGACAUGUGUGACAUACCA